CUCUCCACUAUGGGCAAGACCAAAGAGCCGUCUAAGGACACUAGGAACGAAAUUGUAGACCUGGACAAGGCUGGAAUGGACUACAGGACAAUAUGCAAACUGCUUUGAGAGAGCCACCAGGAAAAAAAAGCCACCAGAGCUAGAUUUAGUGAUCUAUUGAAACAUAUUGAGGAAUUGCAUGUAGUAGGUUCCUUCACAAUGCUGAAAUAUGGUUACUGAACAGAAAUAGUAAGAUAUACAAUAGUAAGAAGUUUCUCGACUCUUUCAAGCUGUUUAAAGGCUUGGUUUGUUUUAAUGGUCUAGCUAUUGCAAAAAAGGAUUUUGAUCAUUUUGGUCACUGGGAACAGCUCUGGAAACAGCUCUGGGAACAGCUCUUGGAUCUGCCUUGGGAACAGCUUUGGGAACAGCUUUGGGAACUGCCUUGGGAACAGCCAGCAGAAGCCCAAUCUCCUCAUCCUCUGCACAAGGACCUUCUAAAAAAAUGAUUAAGAGCUAAAGGGCCCUCGUCAUCAUCGUCAUCGUCGUCAUCAUCAUCAUCAAGAUCAGAUAAAGAUGAUCAUCAUCUUAAUACUGUUCCUUAAUCCCAAACAUGACCAAUAAGAGCUGAGGUUCAUCAUCAACUUCAUCAUCACCAUUACCAUCAAACUUCAUCAUCAGCAGCAUGAGGAGGGCCGAAGCCUUUGCUGGAGUUCGGAGGUUCAACAGAGGUUCAUCUGAGGUUUCUCAUCCAGCUGAAAGAAGAAAUGGAAAGAAACCAAAGAACAUGGAGGAACCAACCAGGAACCAACUAGAUACCCACAGAAACUCUAGGAUCAACUCUGGAUCCACUGAGCAGGAUAAAGCAGGUAAUAAUAUAAUGUUACUUGCCGACUCUGACGAGGGCGGAACAUGAUACAGAACCCGAUGUGUUGCUCAGGGUUAAAGUGUAUUUCCCUUCAUCAUUUCC